ACACAUGCAAGUCGAACGCAUCCUUCGGGGUGAGUGGCGGACGGGUGAGUAACACGUGGGAACGUACCCUUUGCUACGGAAUAGUCUCGGGAAACUGGGGGUAAUACCGUAUGUGCCCUACGGGGGAAAGAUUUAUCGGCAAAGGAUCGGCCCGCGUUGGAUUAGGUAGUUGGUGGGGUAAUGGCCUACCAAGCCGACGAUCCAUAGCUGGUUUGAGAGGAUGACCAGCCACACUGGGACUGAGACACGGCCCAGACUCCUACGGGAGGCAGCAGUGGGGAAUCUUAGACAAUGGGGGAAACCCUGAUCUAGCCAUGCCGCGUGAGUGAUGAAGGCCUUAGGGUUGUAAAGCUCUUUCGCUGGGGAAGAUAAUGACGGUACCCAGUAAAGAAGCCCCGGCUAACUCCGUGCCAGCAGCCGCGGUAAUACGGAGGGGGCUAGCGUUAUUCGGAAUUACUGGGCGUAAAGCGCACGUAGGCGGACCAGAAAGUUAGGGGUGAAAUCCCGGGGCUCAACCUCGGAACUGCCUCUAAAACUCCUGGUCUUGAGUUCGAGAGAGGUGAGUGGAAUUCCGAGUGUAGAGGUGAAAUUCGUAGAUAUUCGGAGGAACACCAGUGGCGAAGGCGGCUCACUGGCUCGAUACUGA
rnacentral:rRNA from 1 species